rnacentral:rRNA from 1 species
GACGAACCGAGCGACCGUUGUUCGGAAUCACUGGGCUUAAAGGGCGCGUAGGCGGGCGGUCAAGUCGAGGGUGAAAGCCCCCAGCUCAACUGGGGAAGUGCCUCCGAUACUGGCCGUCUCGAGGGGGAUAGGGGCGUGCGGAACUUCCGGUGGAGCGGUGAAAUGCGUAGAUAUCGGAAGGAACAUCGGUGGCGAAAGCGGCGCGCUGGAUCCCUUCUGACGCUGAGGCGCGAAAGCCAGGGGAGCGAACGGG